rnacentral:tRNA from 1 species
CCUCUCAUGGCGUAGUGGUAACGCGCCCCAACUAGAGAUCGGGGAGUCGUGAGUUCGAUUCACACUGAGAAGA